rnacentral:lncRNA from 1 species
AUGUUCAGAACCGUUUCUGAGCAUGUCCACAAGCCAGUAUGCAGAUGAUGAUCUGAUGGUGAAGAGACGACCUCAACGGGGUUCAUGAAAACUAGUUCCCAUGUACUGCUUGAAACAGCUGUCAUCCGCAAAGCACUUUACCCAGCAUGGACGCUCCACCUCUUGCCACAGCAGCACAGACAGCUAAUGGCAUACCUGCUUCUAGAAGACCCUUCUACCUGGAGGAUCUUCCUGUGGCAUCUACCUCCCUCAUGAAGCAGAAGUCAUCUGGCACCUGUGUGCAGUCAUCUUAUCGCUCUGCAUUUGUGUAGGUUGGAACAGUUUCAUUCAGCGUGGACUUUAUCAAGACUGUGCAUUUAGGCCUACAGUUCAUAUCCCUGAUAACUAUCUGGGUGGUGCCUGUCCACACUUGGUAUUUGACGUUCCUCCCUUUCACACCCUCAUUAAUUCCAUCUCUGUGAACUGGAUGUGCAGAGAGAUUUGCAAAGUAGAGGCGGAACCAUAAUUGCACUUGGGAAGUACCCAUCAGUACAAAGAAACAUUUCUUCAAGAUUGAUACAGCAAACCCCCUAAACCCAGAGGCUACAGUAGUGUGUGUGUACAGUAGUGCGUGUGUGUGUGUGUGUCCUUUUAAAAAUAACGUGGUUGAUGGUUUUAAGAUGUGUCCCGCUUGUUUAUUUGAGCAACCUAAAAUAGCAGACCCACAUUCCAUUAGCUUUUCUCCAUGGUAUCCAUCUGCACAUCAUGAAACCAGAGGGAAGAAGCUGGAUGAGCUGCACAAUAAUUGUGUUCCUGCGAUGUGUAAAGCCUGACUCAAUGCCAUCUUUCAGCAAGGAAGAAAAAACAGCAGCAACCUAGGAGAUGCCGAAU